rnacentral:rRNA from 1 species
UACGUAGGGGGCAAGCGUUGUCCGGAAUCAUUGGGCGUAAAGAGCGUGUAGGCGGCUUGGUAAGUCCGCUGUGAAAGUCCAGGGCUCAACCCUGGAAUGCCGGUGGAAACUGUCAAGCUUGAGUCCGGAAGAGGCGAGUGGAAUUCCUGGUGUAGCGGUGAAAUGCGCAGAUAUCAGGAGGAACACCGGUGGCGAAGGCGGGACUCUGGGCCGAUACUGACGCUGAGGAGCGAAAGCGUGGGGAGCAAACAGG